CUUGGGUUUAUUCUUUCUCGGGGUUUGGAAUCGAGGUGCAUGAGAAGAGUGUAGAUAAAUGCACUGUUUCAAAAUGCUGCUUCUGCAGCUCCCGCUAUUGCUCUUGUUUUUCAGCAUAGCACAAGGUGAUUUGAUUUCCAUCAAACGAGGAAAUGAGACUGCAGCGUGCAUAACUUCCAACGUCGAAUCUGCUGUAGCAUUUGUGAAAACGCCGGAUGCCACACAUGAUUUCACCAAAGUGGAGUACUUGGACGACAAAGGAAAGCCUUUAUUGAUGAGUCAGUAUGACUGUGAUUUGGUCGAGGAUGCUUCUUGCAACAAAUGGAACAAGAAAAAAGAUGGCAAGAUAACAUGGGUGACAAGCAGACCCACGGAUGGCUUUAUCACAGAUUACCGCUGGAAUGAACUACCCAUACUACGCAGAAACAAAUUAAUAAAAUUCACGAAAGUAGGCGUACCUUUCCAUUAUUCCAUUCUGUCAAAAAACAAGGUUAAAAUAGAGGUCUCAGAUGGUAGAGUGAAUGGAGAAACUAUUAAAGCAGUUAUCCAUCGCUGCGAAAAGAAAAAUUCGCCGCUUAUCCAAAUUUCCGAUGUGGAUGGAACCUUGGUGAAUGCUAUAGACGAGGUUUCUAUCGUUUAAAUUACAAAAUAGAUUUUUGAUUAAAAUAUAAGUUUUCAGAAGAAAAAUGUUCUUCACGAUUGUGGAACGUGGAUUCACCUAACAAUUAUGACCGGCCGCGCAAACAAUGCAUUAAGGAUCGUGGAAAAUGAAAAUCGACUUAUCAUAGCAUUCAGAGGGUUUGAGUACCAUACAUUUUCCCACCAAAACAUAACGUUUUGCUAUAUCAGCUGUUUAAAUAGCUUUUAUUUUGGCUCCCGUCUAACUCAAUAUUCCUCUUGGAAAAAAUUUAAGUUUAAAUUUUUCCAUUUAUGUGCCUAUGAAAAAAUGCACACGCUGAAAUUUAGCUUAUUUUUGCAGAUUGAAGCAUGGUUGCGGAAAUUUAAGUUGUUCAAUCGCUUUCGGGGAUGAUAAGAAACUGCUGGUGAAAAUCCAUAAAUUCAGUUAUCUUUACUCGCGCUCUAAUAAUGAAGCGAUGACGUUGGAAGCAAGUAAAAAUACAGUUGGAUUUUGCAUUGACGUUGUUUUUUACUUUGGACCAAUGGCCACUGGAACGAUAUUUAACUUAGCAAUUACGCAAGGAGAUAAGGUGGUGCAAACCUUUACCCAGGGUGCUUACACAAAAAAUAAAUGGGUCACGAGGAGGUUUGCAAACGAAAAUUUGACACUAAACGCACCUUGGAAACUGAAGGUAACGGCCGAAACACCAAAAAUUUAUAUUGGCGGAAUCAAAUUUUGCGCUGGAGGUGAUUACAACAUCAUAAAACCCAAGGGGAACCACAUGGAAAGCUGCCAUUUGUUGGCGGAGAAUGAUCCUGUGCCAACAACGGUGGAAAAAUUGACAAAAG